GGAGAUUUAGCUCAGCAGUAGAGCACUUGCCUAGCAAGCGCAAGUGGCUCCCUGAUAAACAGUACUUCAACUCUGAGUCUCCU
rnacentral:tRNA from 1 species